GUCCUCUGUCUUUGCUCCACCCCCCACUCUCUGUCCCUCUUCCUAUUGUGAAUUCCCUGCUGACCUGGGAGUCGUCUCCUCUUCAUCUUUAUACCCCCCAGAGGCAACAAUGAGUGUUCAAAGAAACGUGCCAUGAUAUUGGCUCCCCCAUAGCACGAUCACCAGUCACCAGCGGCCACAGCGGUACCCGUUGGGGGUACCCCUGAGACGGGGCUGUGCACCUCUGCCAUGCGGCCAGCCCCCACUUGCAGACAGCAUUGGGCGGGCAAGAACAAUGCGGACAAUGCAUUGAAGCUGGCUGGCCGUCCACUGCCCACCCCCACAGGGCCUGGGUUGGCAGGACAUACCCAGUGCGUGCUUCCUUCCAUUUCCCACCACGGACGUUUCCCAAGGAACAUGUCAGAACGUAUUUCUCCGGGAACAACAUGUCGUACCAGACCCUCUCCUUACGCAUUGAAGACCAAGAUGUUCCCUGGGCCAACCUCUUCAUGUGCUCCGAUUACCUUCCAGGGGAGCUUUGUCAGACGUCACUCUAGAUCGGACGUUGGUUCGGAUACUUAUUGGUCGUCGAUAGGAUGGGUGUUACACUAAGGAUGAGCUGGAUGGAUAAUGGGUGUCCUCAAAGCAGAGCGCUGACGACCACCCAGGGAGCAGCAGUGUCUACGGAGCCCCAGACGGCAGCCACGGGAGGCCAGACGGGCAGUCGGACAUCCCCGCCGUCUCGUAUGACUACUCAGAGGAGGCGCUGAUGGCCAGCAUCGAGCAGGAAUACUGUCGCUGAGGCCGCUGAGGCCGCUGAGGCCGCUGCCGCCGCCUGGCAGGCCCCCCUGCUCCCGCCCCCGCCCCCGCCCGCCUCCGCCGCUCCUCUGCCACCGGUCCCACCUGACCGGACUGGGGUGGCGCCUCACCUCCCCCUGUCCAGGCUCUGGCUGGAGCUGAGCCCCCUCCAACACGCAGUUACUCCCGGCUCUUUCAAAAGACCCGGCUUCCAGCAAGCUGGCUCCAGGGGUCCGUCGUGCCGACCAUGGCCUGAAGAGAGACCCCGGGGCUGCCCCACAGGCGCGUGGGCAGGGGAUCUCCCAGAGGCUCCUCUCAGUCCCCGGGGAGGGCUUGUCUACAAGGUCCUUCCCCUCUCCGAUGGCCCUCUCUCCGUCUGGGCUGGGCACAGCUCACCGGCUCACCGGCUCCAGCUGCCCUCUGUGGGUCCCGGGGCAGGGCCUAGACUCUGCAUUUCUAACCAGCUCCCAGGUGAGACCCAGGCCCCCGGGGCCCCAGCCUCCCUUGGGGUAGGAGGGAUUGAGUCUAAGCUUCAGACCUCAUGUGAUGCUUCCUUCCUGGUGCUGGGCCCGGGUGACAGAGGGGAGCACAGGGCCGGGAGCUGGAGCCCCGAGUUCUGAUCCUCCCUCUCGCACUCCCUUGCAGCCACUUUCCCCUUGUGGGCCUCAGUUUCCCUCUCCAGAAAGUGGGUCCUGGAGGCUCUUCCGGGCAAUCUGGCCCUGACAGUCUGGAAUUAGACAAUUCUGGGCUUCCUUGAUCCCUGCUGUUCCGCCACCCGCUGGGGCACAGGGCUGCCCCCCGCCUGCUGAGGGUGGGCGCCCCUGUGCACCUGUAGGAGGUCUUGAGGGACACCCGCUCUCGGCAGACCACGGCCUGAUGGGACUGUUUUACUCUCUUCCCACCGGGUAGAAGGUAGAAGGGCGUCGGAACAAAGGGGCACGUGGGGGCGACGUCAGCUGUGGCCGAAACCAGGAUGGGUCUCAGCUUGUUGCAUUUACCACCUCCCUGGCGUCGCCCGCAAGGUGCGAGAGCAUCUCGGGAGCUGACGAAGGGCCCGUUGGCACCGUCCCCAGACCCACGGGCCUGCUGCCGUCAUCAGCAGGCGGAUGUUGCCAUGAACUUUUGUUACUCGACAAGAGAGCCUUUGAUGGGCCGUUCCAUGGCUGGGAGGUUCUUCCCGCUGAGCCAGAGGACGGGCCCGACGGAGCCUUCCCACAGCCGCCCCUGAGGGAUGGACCAGGACCUUGACAGUGACAGCUAUGCCCCAUCCAAGCCCCAAUCCUCUCUUUUGAUCAGAGAUGACAGCCAUUACUGUUUUAAUAAUAUGAAACACUCCUUUUAAGAGAAGUUAAAAUGUUAUUCAAGGACAAGGCCUUGAAUUCAAUGAUGUAAAGUGUUCACAAGUUUACGUCGUUAUUUUGUUAAAGCAGAAAACGUUUCCGAGAGAAAGAUGAUAGCCCUGCCUCGUCCAGGGGAAACCUCACACAACCCUUAAGGACACGAAAGUGUUAAGAAAAUAAAAUUCCUCAUGUCGUGGCUGCA